UGGGGACACUUUGGGGACACUUUGGGGACACUUGGAGGUGCCACCACCCCCCGGUGUCCCCCAGACGUGGCAGACGUGGUGGCUUUCCUGGCGUCGGGGGACAGCGGCUACGUCACCGGGGCCACCCUGGAGGUGACAGGGGGUCUCUUCAUGUGACGGAUCCAGCCCCUCCCCCCAAUGUCCCCUCAAUGUCCCCCCAAUGAGGGGGAGGGGCAGACCUCAAAAUUUGGGGGAUAAAGGGGAGGGACCCCAAAAUUUGGGGUGUUGAGGCUGGGAGCCCAAAAAUGGGGGGAAGAAGAAUGGGGGGGGCCCUAAAAUUUGGGGAGAUUGAGGGGCAGGACCCAAAAAUUUGGGGGGGAGACCUCAAAAUUUGAGGGGAUAAAAGGGGGAGACCCCAAAAUUUGGGGGGUUGGGAUGGGGGGGAGGCCCCGAGUUUGGGGGGAGGGGACCCCAAAAUUUGGGUGGGGGACAAAAGGGGGUCCCAAAAAUCGGGGAGGGUCCCAAAACUGGGGAGGAGGGGCCUAAAGUAAGGGAGGGGCUCCCCCAAAAUAUGGGGGGAACCCCAAAACUGGGGGGGUCGAGGGAGGGGGGUGGAAACCCCUCCAAAAAACCACCAGGAGCCAUUGCCAUGGAGAUGUUUAUUGGCCACACCCACCCCUCCCCUCCCUUAAAUUUCUAAAACAACAAAAAUAAACAUUUUGGACCCCAAAUUUGGGGUUUUUUUGGGGUGGAGACCCCAAAUUUUUGGGGUGAGGGGUUGGGAGGGGUCUCUUAAAUUCGGGGGGGGAGGUCAGAUGUAGCCCUGCCCCCUCUUGACCCUACCCCCCUUAAAACCUCCUCUAAAACCACAAAAAUAAACAUUUUGGGCCUCAAAUUUUGGAGUUUUUUGAGGCAAACCCCCCCAGAAGUUUUGGGAGGUGUCCCCAAAAUUCGGGAGGGGUGGAGUUAAGAGAGGGCGGAGCCAAAUCCUCCAUCUUUUCUGCCUUAAACCUCCUCUAAAACGACAAAAAUAAACCUUCUGGAUGCCAAA